AUUCUAGAGUUUGAUCAUGGCUCAGGACGAACGCUGGCGGCGUGCCUAAUACAUGCAAGUCGAGCGGACAGAAGGGAGCUUGCUCCCGGAUGUUAGCGGCGGACGGGUGAGUAACACGUGGGUAACCUGCCUGUAAGACUGGGAUAACUCCGGGAAACCGGAGCUAAUACCGGAUAGUUCCUUGAACCGCAUGGUUCAAGGAUGAAAGACGGUUUCGGCUGUCACUUACAGAUGGACCCGCGGCGCAUUAGCUAGUUGGUGAGGUAACGGCUCACCAAGGCGACGAUGCGUAGCCGACCUGAGAGGGUGAUCGGCCACACUGGGACUGAGACACGGCCCAGACUCCUGCGGGAGGCAGCAGUAGGGAAUCUUCCGCAAUGGACGAAAGUCUGACGGAGCAACGCCGCGUGAGUGAUGAAGGUUUUCGGAUCGUAAAGCUCUGUUGUUAGGGAAGAACAAGUGCAAGAGUAACUGCUUGCACCUUGACGGUACCUAACCAGAAAGCCACGGCUAACUACGUGCCAGCAGCCGCGGUAAUACGUAGGUGGCAAGCGUUGUCCGGAAUUAUUGGGCGUAAAGGGCUCGCAGGCGGUUUCUUAAGUCUGAUGUGAAAGCCCCCGGCUCAACCGGGGAGGGUCAUUGGAAACUGGGAAACUUGAGUGCAGAAGAGGAGAGUGGAAUUCCACGUGUAGCGGUGAAAUGCGUAGAGAUGUGGAGGAACACCAGUGGCGAAGGCGACUCUCUGGUCUGUAACUGACGCUGAGGAGCGAAAGCGUGGGGAGCGAACAGGAUUAGAUACCCUGGUAGUCCACGCCGUAAACGAUGAGUGCUAAGUGUUAGGGGGUUUCCGCCCCUUAGUGCUGCAGCUAACGCAUUAAGCACUCCGCCUGGGGAGUACGGUCGCAAGACUGAAACUCAAAGGAAUUGACGGGGGCCCGCACAAGCGGUGGAGCAUGUGGUUUAAUUCGAAGCAACGCGAAGAACCUUACCAGGUCUUGACAUCCUCUGACAACCCUAGAGAUAGGGCUUUCCCUUCGGGGACAGAGUGACAGGUGGUGCAUGGUUGUCGUCAGCUCGUGUCGUGAGAUGUUGGGUUAAGUCCCGCAACGAGCGCAACCCUUGAUCUUAGUUGCCAGCAUUUAGUUGGGCACUCUAAGGUGACUGCCGGUGACAAACCGGAGGAAGGUGGGGAUGACGUCAAAUCAUCAUGCCCCUUAUGACCUGGGCUACACACGUGCUACAAUGGACAGAACAAAGGGCUGCGAGACCGCAAGGUUUAGCCAAUCCCACAAAUCUGUUCUCAGUUCGGAUCGCAGUCUGCAACUCGACUGCGUGAAGCUGGAAUCGCUAGUAAUCGCGGAUCAGCAUGCCGCGGUGAAUACGUUCCCGGGCCUUGUACACACCGCCCGUCACACGGUACCAU
rnacentral:rRNA from 1 species